rnacentral:sRNA from 1 species
GAUAAAAAAGGUGGUGCAGUAUUCUAGUCAGGUAAGUAUCUUUGAAGACGGGGCUAAAAAUCCGUUGAAGAGCAUAUCGAUGAAGUUCCUUGUGCUGGCUUAAAACGCCCAGUUUUGGGUUGGUGCUGGGAGUAAGAAUGUGGGGCAAGCGCAAAGGCAUGCGUAACUGACCCUACAUUCGUGGAGACCAUUGUAUGUGCUUGGGAAGAAAUAUCCAAAGUACGGCAAUGGAUUAAACCUGCAUUGUGGUAAACUGAGCUAUGUGCAGAGUAGCUUGCCUUGAGUGAUAUAGGUGGAGGUAGGAUCAAAUCUUAAUACUGAGGCCAAAGUAUUAAGAUUAUUGCUUACUGAAACCUAUGUUGCAAAAGAGGAUAAAAAGAUACCUAACUGUUGAGGAAAUCUCCUAGACUGUUUAUUUUUAAGGUAUGUUAGGGAUUGUAGUGUGGACUAAGUGGUAAUCUAGUCCUAUAUAUGGCAACAGUAUAGAUAGAAUAUUAAAAGGAAACUGCUAAAAUGGCGACAUUUUAGUUAUUCUAUGGGAAACCCUACUAGACCUAAGCCGCAAAUUUUACUUAGUAUAUCACCACCUUUUAUUAAUA